AUUACUAAACAUUUUCUUGGCUGCCUCUUUCUGUCGAGUUUAUUAGUGAGUUACGCAAUUGGCCAUCAUCUCGGCUGGCAAAUCAUCUUCAAGCACCAAGUCUUCUCUAUGAACCUAUCUUCUCGGCUGGCAAAUCAUCUUCAAGCACCAAGUCUUCUCUAUGAACCUAUCUUCUCGGCUGGCAAAUCAUCUUCAAGCACCAAUUCUUCUCUAUGAACCUGUGACUUCCCUGUUGGGAAGCUCCUUUGCAGCUGUCCCAUCUCUGUUAAGACACAUCCCUCUGACAAAUGAAAAGUUUGUUUCGCAAAACACUGCCAGAACAAGGGAACAGAGGCUGUCGUCAUGUUGAAAUUCAAUUG
rnacentral:lncRNA from 1 species